rnacentral:rRNA from 1 species
CCCGCUGACGAGCGGCGGACGGGUGAGUAAUGCUUAGGAAUCUGCCCAGUAGUGGGGGAUAGCCCGGGGAAACCCGGAUUAAUACCGCAUACGUCCUACGGGAGAAAGCAGGGGAUCUUCGGACCUUGCGCUACUGGAUGAGCCUAAGUCGGAUUAGCUAGUUGGUGGGGUAAAGGCCUACCAAGGCGACGAUCCGUAGCUGGUCUGAGAGGAUGAUCAGCCACAUCGGGACUGAGACACGGCCCGAACUCCUACGGGAGGCAGCAGUGGGGAAUAUUGGACAAUGGGGGCAACCCUGAUCCAGCCAUGCCGCGUGUGUGAAGAAGGCUUUCGGGUUGUAAAGCACUUUCAGUGAGGAGGAAGGCUUAAAGGUUAAUACCCUUUGGGAUUGACGUUACUCACAGAAGAAGCACCGGCUAACUCCGUGCCAGCAGCCGCGGUAAUACGGAGGGUGCAAGCGUUAAUCGGAAUUACUGGGCGUAAAGCGCGCGUAGGUGGUUUGAUAAGCGAGAUGUGAAAGCCCCGGGCUUAACCUGGGAACGGCAUUUCGAACUGUCUGACUAGAGUGUGGUAGAGGGUAGUGGAAUUUCCUGUGUAGCGG